CUCAUUCCUACCCUUCUUCUCUACUUUCUCAUGGCAGGCUAUACACACCUCACCAGUGACCACUUGGUGGCCAGUGUGAGGAAGACAAUUUCUUGUGAAGCGACUGCUACAGCCCAAGAAUGUAAUGGUGUAUACAGGCCAGGAUUGGCAGACCAAACACUGAUACAUCACCAUCCUCAACAUCUUCCAGAGAAAGGUGGACUCCACCGAGAUCCACAAGAGCCUACAGAGGAUCCAGGAAAGGAAACUGGCCAACUUCAUCCCCUGGGGCCCAGCCAGCAUCCAGGUGACCCUUUCAAAACAAUCUACCGGCUCUCAGCCCACCAGAUCAGUGGGCUUAUGAUCGCCAUAGUAUCUCCUCACUUUUUGAAUGGACCUGUUGCCAGUUUGACACACCAGGGAAAAGGGAGGCCUUCAUGGAGCAGUUCCCCAAGGUGGAUAUUUUCAAGGACACUUUUGACAACAUAGAUACAUCCAGGGAGAUUGUGCAGCAGCUGAUUGAUUAGUACCAUGUGGCCACAAAGUCAAACUACAUUUCCUAGGGCACCCAGGAGCAAUGA
rnacentral:lncRNA from 1 species